UCUCUUUCCCUCUGUAUAUACAUAUCCACACACACACACACACAUGUCGAUAGCUAAAAAUUACUUUUCACAUUACUUUUUAUAUUUAAUCAAACACACAUUUUUCUUACACGUUUUUCUUCACCUAAAAACCCAUUAUAAUAAAAGUCAUCUAUUAGUCAUCUGUGGCUUUACAGUUUUUCUCCACUGCUAACACACUAGAACUGAUUCAUUUAGCCCAAUUUUCCAAACCAUUCAUACAGUUCUCGAAAACAAAGACACGUUUCUCAAAACUUUUAACACAUUUCACCUGUUUGCACACACGUUCCAACUGAUGACACACAGGUCAGAAUCACAGGAUGAUAUGAACAAGAGCACAAGUGAUUAUGUGUUUUGGAAAACUAAUCCUGGUAGUGCGAGACAAAGUGGAGUUGGGGGGAAAAUAAAAACCGAUGAGGCGAUGAGGUCAGAGAUGUUAACAUUCCUGGCAUCUCUUUCUCUCACAUCAGCCAUACGUCUGCCUGCUUUUGAGGUGAGGUGUUUACACUGAUAAUAAUGAAUUUGAAACAGGACACUGGAGACUGGGGGAGAAGACAGACCCUCACAGCACACAAGGGGAACCGCUUGCAUAAUAGGACAGGGAAGAGCUUGCACUUCUCUCCUUUUUGCAGGAAAUGGGCGAAACCUGGGCUGAAAUUAUUUCUCCGACAUUUUGUGCUCUGAAGGAAGCGUCUCCUGAUAGAAGAGGUCAUUUGGCUUCCUGUUGUGCAGCAACAGUUUUUAUGUUUUUCAGCAUGAAAAGAGCAUGACAGGAAGGGUCAGGGGGUUUGGUUGUUACAACAGUGAACUACACUGCCAAAUUAGCAGGAUUAGUAUUACAAAAACAUGUGAUGGUCACAUGUCACCACAGAAAUCAAAAGAAAAAAAAUUAUUAUAUUAUAUUUUUAUAUAUUAUAUAAAUAUUUUAAUGGCACUAUUAUUUUAACCACAAUUAAGCACAAAAAGCCUGCAAUUUUUCCUGCAAUUCUCUUUAAAUCAGGUUUAAGUUUAAAAUAUUGACAGACAAUGACUGUAUAAGUAUUUUACCAUUUCAUAAUUUGUAAUCAAUUAAUUUUAAUAAAUUCUAUUUUACUAUAUAAAUACUAUAUAUG
ensembl:lncRNA